UACGAAGGGGGCUAGCGUUGCUCGGAAUUACUGGGCGUAAAGCGCACGUAGGCGGCUCUUUAAGUCGGAGGUGAAAUCCUGGGGCUCAACUCCAGAACUGCCCUCGAUACUGAAGAGCUCGAGUCCGGGAGAGGUGAGUGGAACUGCGAGUGUAGAGGUGAAAUUCGUAGAUAUUCGCAAGAACACCAGUGGCGAAGGCGGCUCACUGGCCCGGUACUGACGCUGAGGUGCGAAAGCGUGGGGAGCAAACAGG
rnacentral:rRNA from 1 species